ensembl:snRNA U6 U6 spliceosomal RNA
GUGCUCACUUUGGAAGCACAUAUACUAAAAUUGGAACGAUACAGAGUAGAUUGGCAUGGGCCCUGGGCAAGGAUGACAUGCAAAUUCAUGAAGCGUUACAUACUUUU